UCCUUCUUUGGAGCUUUCGUUCCGGCCGCGCCUCCGCCCGAGCCUCCCCGGCCCUCGCGUCUCGGCGACCGUUUCCAUCCCCUCCCUUGUGCAUCAAAUCUCGAUUCGUUUCGAAUCGCGAUUGAUUGAUUUUGUUCGCCGUCGCCUCUGCAGCUCUGCUUUCUGUGCUCGCAGGGGGUUCGAUCGGCCCGUCUCGUCCGCCUCCGCGCGCGCGACUUCGGGGGAGCGAUCAAUCGGGGAUUCAAUCGAGUUGUCCUGCGUCUGAUUUUGGCCGAAGCGAGGUCAGUUUCUCGUGCUCGAUCGGCCAGAUCGGUUCCUUGGUUCCGUCACCUGCCUGCGUUCGUCUCGUCGGUGGUUUCAGAUUUGAAUUGAAUUGAAUUGAGCGGCGGUCGCCCGUGCGGCCUUCCGGUUCUACGUUCCCCCGAUCGAGCGCCCGUCGGUGAUUUCAGAUUUGAAUUGAUUGAAUUGAACGGUGCUGUCAUCAGUUAAUACGAGGUGGAUUCGAGGCCCUCGUGGAUUCUUGUUGUGCCGGCUGAUCUUGCUUUUGGUAUAUGUGCUCUCUGUCCUAGAUGCAGAACCAAGAGGGCGAGCGCUCGUUCUGGACAGUUACAUAGAUGAAGGGGCGGAGGUUUGAUUUCUGUUCAUGGUUGUUUUGAUUUUUUGGUUACGGUUCAGCGGUUAUUCUGAUAUGGUCAGAUCUUCUCGGGUGAUGAUGAUGCUUUGGACCUCUUACCAACCUGGAACCGGUGAUCUGAGUUUGGAUAAUAUAAAUAAAUCCCCCCCACUUCAGUUUCUUGGUUCGCACACUAGUCAACGGAAAUUCUGAUUUCGAUUUGUUGGUUCUUCUUCAGAAAUUGGAUUACAAGGCAUAGGGGGAGCGACCCAUCUUGCUGAUCUGCGUUUGGAGGAUGAUUACCCCUUCUUUUCAAUUCUUCAUCUACACGGUUCAGUUUUAGUCGGUCCUGAUUUAGAUUUGUUGUUUGAUGCUUGUCCAGAAAUUGGGGAUUAUACGGCUUAGCGGGAGCGACUUGUCAUUCUUCAUGACCUGUGUUUGGAUAAUCAUUACUCUCUGUUUAUUUCCUUUUCUCCACAGUUCAGUUAGUGUUGGCACAAUUCUGAUUUGGAUUUUCGAUUUGUUGCUGGUACUCCAGAUAUUGGAAUUAUACGGCUUAGUGGGUGGUCCAAUUUUCCCUCGGCACGGCGGUUCUUCUGUGGCUCAACAUUUUCUUAGUCAUCAAUAAUAUAAUUAGAAAAGUUUCUCUGCCUUAGUUUGUCAUUCUCAGCUCUUGCAGACACCAUCUUGGAAGGGAUAUAAUUGGAAUUGGUGCUGUCUACUUGACCUUCCCAGCUCAGACUUCCUUAUAACUUUUAGCUCCUCCUCGUUUGAAGCAUGCUUUAGUUGAGCCCAGUUUUCCCUAAUAACGUAUCUUGCUCGUUGCAGGUUUGACGAAUGCAAAGUCCAACCUGAUGCUGAGUUGAAUCUGAUUACAGUUCUUUCUAAAUCUAAUCAAUUCAUCAUUACUUAGAUAACCUUUAAGAUCUUCUCACUCACUAGGCAAUAUUUUAAAUUCAGAUUUAUCUGCGAAGGUGCAAGAGUGGAGCUUCAAACUUGGCAAAUCCUACAAACAAAAAAGAGACUCCUCCAUUUUUAACUCUUGCCUCUUAUCUUUGUAUCACGUAGCUACUUGUUCAUGCCUUUGAUUUAAGCUUUUUUGCUUCUGCCCCCCUGUGAUUGCAGAUUUAUUUUAGCCCAGAGCGUGUUGGUACUUGGUAGUGAGUCGAAAUCUGUUAAAAUCGGUUGGUUUGCAAUCUAUCUCUAUGCGGUUCAAUUUGUUAUCUGUACUCUUAUCCUGUCGACUGCAUGACAUAUUUAGGAAGUUUGGGCUUAUGGGCAAAUCUCUGUACAGUGAGUCAGGUCAGUGUUCUAUUAACGGUUUGUUUGGUUUAGUUGUGUUCCUCGAUCUGGAAUGUGGAGAGCCCUGUGGUGUUGUAUGUUGAAGGGGCUCUGAGCAGGUCAGGUUUGAAUGGCUAUCGCCCGUGUGAUCUUCUGGUUCUCAUCACGUGUUUCUUCAUCAUCAGCUAAUAUGAGGUGGAUUAGAGAAGUCCUGGUGGAUUCUUAUUGUAGCAGCUGAUCGCGCUUUUGGUGUGUGUUUGUGCUCCUUUGCUUGCAGCAGAUGCAGGAGUGUAGUAGUUCUGCACAGAUGAAUCAUAGGGUGGAGAGUUGGUAUCUGUUCGUCAUUUUGAUUGAUUGGAUAUGAAGCUUUGUAUCUCUUACCAACCUGGAACCUGUGAUCUGCGUUUCGAUAAUAUAUAUUCCGUCCCAAUUCAAUUUAUUUGGUUUGCACAAUAAAAUUUAGCCCUUGGUAGUUCUGAUCUGUAUUCGUUUGUGGUUUUCCAGAAAUUGGGGUUAAUUGGUGGAGGUUUAGUUUCUGAUAAUCAUUUUGAUUGAUUGGAUAAUGAAGCUUUGGAACCUGGAACUUGUGAUUAGCGUUUGGAUAAUGAAUUCCGUCCCCAUUCAAUUUAUUUGGUCUGCACAGUACAAUUUAGUCCUGGCAGUUCUGAUCUGUAUUCGUUUGUGGUUUUUCAGAAAUUGGGCUUAGUAAGGUUUAGCAGGAGCAACCUAUCUUCUUGCUGAUCUUCAUUUGGAUGAUUAUGAACCCCUCUAUUUAAUUCCUUCUCAAUUCAAUUUUAGUCUCUGACAAUUCUGAUUUAGAUCUGUUGCUGGUUGUCCAGAAAAUGGGAUUAUAUGGCUCAGCGGGAGCGAACUAUCUUCUUGCUGACCUGCGCUUGGAUGAUCAUUACUCUCUCUGUUUAAUUUCUUCUCCAUAGCCCAAUUAGUUGCCCGACAAUUCUGAUAUAGAAUUUUUGCUGGUUCUCCAGAAAUUGGAAUUAUAUGGCUUAGCGGGUGGUCCUAUUUUUUCGGCAUGGCGGUUCUUUCUGUGGCCCAACAUAUCCGACCUUUUAUCCUCCCUUGAUAAUUGAACUUUCGAAAUGUUAGUUUCUUUGCCUUGGUUGGUAAUUCUCAGCUCUUGCAGAUGCUGACUUGGGAGCGAAAUAAUUGGAACCAGUGUUGUCUACCUGACUUUCCGGCCGAGACAGGCUUACUUACCCUUUACCUCAACAUUUGAUGCGACAGGCUUACUUACCCUUUGCCUCAACAUUUGAUGCAUGCUUUAGCUGAGCCUAGUUUUCCUCUUAUAACUUAUAGAAAGGUAUCUUCCUCGUUGCAGGUUGUAGUUGAUGAACUCGUCCAACCUGAUGCCGACUUGAAUCUGUUUGCAGUUCUUCUAAAUCUACUAUUUUCUCAAUUCAUCAGAACUUAGACAGCCUUUAAAAUUAUCUUACCAGACAAUAUUUUGAAUUCAGAUUUAUCUUCCAAGGUUCAACCAUGAAGAUUCAAACUAUUGGAACAUCCUAUAAUGAAAAAGACUGCUCCAGUUUUAACUCGCCUCUUAUUUUCGUUUCACGUAGCUACUUGUUCAUGUCUUUGAUUUAGGUUUUUCCUUCUGCCCUCCCUUUGGUUGCAGAUUAAGCCCAAACCAUGCUGAUAGUGAGUCGGAAUCUGUUAAAAUCGUUUGGUUUGCGAUCUCGCUCUCUGUGGAUUUUGAUUUGUUGUUUGUAAUCUUGAUCCCUGUGCUCGUCUUCUGCGCGUAUCAGUUGCAGGAUAUAUUUAGGAAGUCUGGGCCUAUGGCAGGAUAUAUUUGGAUAUGCCGGUGGCUCUCCAGAAAUUGGAAUAAUAUGGCUUAGAAGGCAGUCUUAUUUUGCCUCGGCAUGGCGGUUCCUUCUGUGGCUAAAACUUUUUCAACCUUUUUUACUCUAUAAUUGAACUCUCUAGACAUUAGGUUUUCUUUGCCUUAGUAAUUAUCAGCACUUACAGAUACUGACUUGGAAAGGAUAUAACUGCAGUUUGGAACCGGCGUUGUUGUCCUCCAUCAUCCAUACCUCCUUAGACAGGCUUUACUUGUUCCCACUCAUCGUUUCGUCCAUGCUUUAGCUAUUUAUAAGCAGCAUUUCCCCUAACAAUUUUUUUUAUAGAAAAGGUCUCUUGCUCGCGGCAGGUUGUAGUUGACGAACUCCUGUCCAGCCUGAUGAUGAAUCUGUCUAUUGAUCUUCUAAAUCUACUAGUAUCGUUUCAAUUCAUUGUAACUUACAUAACCUAUAAAUUAUCUUACUAGACAUUUUAAAUACAGAUUCAUAUGCAGCUCGAAUAUGAGGAUAAUCCAGAGCUUUCAACUAAUGGCACAUCAUACAGCCGAAAAAGACUCUUACCUUCCCAUUUUCUUUAUUUCAUUUAGUUACUUGGCCAUCUCUUAGGUUUGUGCCCCUGACCUUCCUAUGGUUGCAGAUUUUUCUUUAGCCCAGGCCAUGUGGGCAAUGACUAGUUCUCCAUGGUUGUUAUCUGUACUCUUGAUCCCUGUGUUCUCUUGGUCUUCUGCGUCUGUGGGUUGGUAAGAUAUAAUAGUCAGGAGUUUGGACCCAAACCUUUGUUCUGUACAUGGAGUCAGGUCAGUGUCUCGUAGAUGGUCUGUUUGUUUCGUUUGUUAUCGCCUCCUCUACAAUUUGGCUUGCAGGACUGAAUCUUGAUCUGGUCUGGAAAUGAUGUUCCAUGUGGUGUGUGAACGUAUGGUGAAGGGGACUCGAGGCAGGUCAGUUUCCCAUGUUUGGUCACAUUGGUUUACUGGAUUCCUCAUCUGUGCUUGGUGAUGUCAGAUUUGAGUGGUUAUACCUUGAGUUCUUCGAUUUAUCUUUGUCUGAUGGCUGUUUGGGAGCUUUGUUCUGGAUGGGUCUUCUUCAACCACAAAAGCUUACACCUGGAUUCCAUGCUUGUUUCAACUGAUUUCCCAGAUUUUAUUAUGGUCUGACUUUCCUUGAAGAAACUUCAAGUAUGCUGAUUAUAUUUGGGCCGUUCAUUGAUUUGCAUUGUUGGAGGUUUUAUUGCAAAAUUGUAUAGUUGGAUAAUCAAUUAGUGCAGGGCCUUGGUGAAGCAAAUGGACCCCCUUGAUGGUUUUGACUUCUGAUUAGUGAUCCUGAAGCAUGAUGGUUUUUGUGGUAGUUUUCAGUUUGAACUCGCAUUCAGUGGCCUCAUAUCUUUGGUGCAGCUUGGAGCUGAAAAUGCUAGAAGUCUCAAACCAGGGUCCAGAAUGGAAAUAUCAGUUCGUACUCGGUUUGUAUAGCAGAUUAUCAAAGUUUGAUUUGGCUAUUAAUUACCUGGUUACCAUACUAUUCUACAUACUCUUGUUCAUGAUUGCACGUGGUUUGUUUAUAUACGUUAUUUAGGUUCAUCUUAUGACACAAAUCAAAAUUUAGUGUGCACAUAAUUUUUAACUGAAAGAUCCCACCCUCGCAUUUGUGUUGGUUUAACAGUAGUGGCCUCCUGUAGUUUGGUAAUAUUGAUGACUUGAUAUGCAGAAUGAUGUUAGGAGUUGUUGCUAUUGCCUAUAUAUAUAUAUACUAUAAAACAAUGGAGAGUUGAAGGUUCUGAACUGGAGGCUUGAACAAAUAUUUUGCCCUGAACACUCCACUCAUGUCCACUGAAUAUGAUUCUGGUUUGUUGGUAUGGAGUUGAUUUUCAGAAGUGAUCUUAUUCUCAUUGGUGCUUCUCCUGUUUACUUUCAACAUACGGCAGUUUGUUUUCGUACUUCAUUCAUCCUGGAUUUAAAGAUACAAAGCGCUCACACAUCUCUACGGUCUUCCAAUGGCUGAUUUGAUCUCUUUACAGCAAACUGCUAAUUUGAUCUGGAUUAUGGAAUCUUCCAUUACAUAUUCUUAUUAAAUAUAUAAUUUCAUAGUGUUUACACAUCUGACAGUCCUCUAAUGGCUAAUUUGACCUUCUUUUCGGCCGAACUGCUAAUUUGAUAUGGAUUAUGGAAUCUUCAAUUACGUAAAUCUAUAAUUUCACAGCGCUCACACAUCUGACAGUCCUCUAAUGGCUAAUUGACAUUUUUUUUCUGGCGAACUGCUAAUUUGAUCUGGAUUCUGAAUCUUGAACCACAUAUUCUCUUUAAUUACAUAUUCGUAGUUUUUGGAAACUUCCUAGUUUUAAUUUAGUUGGCAACUAGCAGAAGUACUAAUUUGAUGAUUCCUGUCGAUUGCUUAGACAAACCCAUUCUGUUUCAUACUACAUAAUAAAUCCUAUAUAGAUUAAGACACGAAAGUAUCUGUUCACACAUCUUACGGUCCUCUGACCCUGUAUAAACUACGAAAGCUUUCUCAGUGCAAAGAUUUGAAUCUCGCUCAUCCCACUAGAUAAAUUAGUUACUCCCAUUCAGGUUCUGGAAUUUAUGGCAUUCUUUGUUUGCGCCCCAUGUCAGUCUUAUGAUGUUGUGAAAACGUUGCGUGAAUACUUAUUGCCAAUCGUGUGUCGUACCAAUGCUGCCUUUGGUUGAUUGCGUGGCUUGUAUGCUUAGCUGACUAAAAUUGUUUGUAGUGUGUGUUGUUUCUUGUGUAAGUAGGAGUAGUUUAACACUGCCUUUGCCGGUCCCAAGCCCGGAUGAGAAAAUGUGGAGGGGACUGCAAUUAGCUCCUCUGUAUCAUUUGCAUUAGAACUGUCAUGGUCUCCUAAUAUUUUACAUUGAGUAGCAGUAAAUGAAGUGAGUAAGUUGCAGACUGUCUGGUCACACAAUGUGGUGGCAAGCUUUGGAAUGCACCCUUUGCUAUGAAGAAUCUGGGCAAGUGUAAUUUGUAGUCAGUCAGACUCCUCCAGGAAUUUGCUGAUUACUAGCUGUACAAGGUCAGUGUGUUUUACUUACGUUCCUAGAGGGAAGUGAGUGUAUAGGAAGCUUUGAAUGAGAGGCCUCAUGUACCACACAAUUGUCUAGAAAAGAUGUAGUUCAAUUGUUGUGGGUAAACUGCUUCCCUAGAAAAUGCUGUGGUAUUGUAGCAGAUGCAAGCAAGUGGGGAUGGUUCACAGA